GAUGAACGCUGGCGGCGUGCCUAAUACAUGCAAGUCGAGCGAACGGACGAGAAGCUUGCUUCUCUGAUGUUAGCGGCGGACGGGUGAGUAACACGUGGAUAACCUACCUAUAAGACUGGGAUAAUUUCGGGAAACCGGAGCUAAUACCGGAUAAUAUUUUGAACCGCAUGGUUCAAAAGUGAAAGACGGUCUUGCUGGCACUUAUAGAUGGAUCCGCGCUGCAUUAGCUAGUUGGUAAGGUAACGGCUUACCAAGGCAACGAUGCAUAGCCGACCUGCGAGGGUGAUCGGCCACACUGGAACUGAGACACGGUCCAGACUCCUACGGGAGGCAGCAGUAGGGAAUCUUCCGCAAUGGGCGAAAGCCUGACGGAGCAACGCCGCGUGAGUGAUGAAGGUCUUCGGAUCGUAAAACUCUGUUAUUAGGGAAGAACAUAUGUGUAAGUAACUGUGCACAUCUUGACGGUACCUAAUCAGAAAGCCACGGCUAACUACGUG
rnacentral:rRNA from 1 species